UGGGGAAUUUUGCCACAAUGGGCGCAAGCCUGAUCCAGCCAUGCCGCGUGUCUGAAGAAGGCCUUCGGGUUGUAAAGGACUUUUGUCAGGGAAGAAAAGGAUAGGGUUAAUACCCCUGUCUGAUGACGGUACCUGAAGAAUAAGCACCGGCUAACUACGUGCCAGCAGCCGCGGUAAUACGUAGGGUGCGAGCGUUAAUCGGAAUUACUGGGCGUAAAGCGGGCGCAGACGGUUACUUAAGCAGGAUGUGAAAUCCCCGGGCUCAACCUGGGAACUGCGUUCUGAACUGGGUGACUAGAGUGUGUCAGAGGGAGGUAGAAUUCCACGUGUAGCAGUGAAAUGCGUAGAGAUGUGGAGGAAUACCGAUGGCGAAGGCAGCCUCCUGGGAUAACACUGACGUUCAUGCCCGAAAGCGUGGGUAGCAAACAGGAUUAGAUACCCUGGUAGUCCACGCCCUAAACGAUGUCGAUUAGCUGUUGGGCAGCUUGACUGCUUAGUAGCGAAGCUAAACGCGUGAAAUCGACCGCCUGGGGAGUACGGUCGCAAGAUUUA
rnacentral:rRNA from 1 species